UGGCAAGUUAUCGCAGCUUUCAGCUGCCGG
rnacentral:sRNA from 1 species